CCCUAGCCCUGAUCACAGCAAUUGUCUGAGCUCUUUUUUAUUUUCGGGCUGCGGCGGCUUCGCCGCCGCAGCCCGAAAAUAAAAAAAGCGAGUGCGGAGAGCAGGAAAAGUU
rnacentral:misc_RNA from 1 species